GAAAUAUUAAUGGUACUUUUGAAAAAUAGAACAAUGGCUUGUUCCUUUACACUUAUGCAUUAAAAGUUUUACAUAAAAGUCAACGGUUUCGGCAAAAACAGGGGUGUCCAUUUCGCCCCGGGUGUCCAUUAUGCCCCUAAUCAUCGCUUUUUAUACUCAGCAUUGACGUUGUGCUGGUGGUGGUGGCCAACUGCGCGAGUGCCGCAAGGUUAAUAAGCAUAUUAAGUUGGCGUGUGGUCUAUUCCAGUAUUCAGCCGGCUUGAUAUCAUACAUAACUCCAUAUGGGCUGUAGUACUUUCCGGACUGUUUGUGCUGUUAGUGAUAGACUAAUGAUACGACAUUAUUACUGCAUACGCCGAACCUCUUCACCUAGCGAACCACAUUAUGUGUAGGAAUGAUCAAUUAGAGAAAUGUCAACAAAACAGCAAAUUACCGUGAUAGGAGCUUAUCUUCAAAGUGUUCAACAUUCAAUAAUAUUCCUUAUCUAUCGUUGAAUCUGAACAGUUAUCGCUGUGAUUCCUUGCCCUACUCGCUCAACACCAUACGGGAGAUGCGACGGCAAAUCGUACUUUGCAUUUAACUGCGUUCUACAUGGAAAUUUUCACAUGCGUCAUAAACAUGAGCUAUUUUGCAAAUAGCGUCGCUGUCAACCACGAUUUACGCAACUAUUACGGAGCGUCUAUGAAUUAGGCCACGCUAUCAAGGACAAUGGGCAAUCCAGCAAAGCUUGGUGAUCCAUGCAAAAUAAAUCAGAAUUCACAUAUAAAAAGUGUGACAUAGCGGACAUAGCGGAAGGGACGAGGAAAUAGUAAACUUUUGCAUUGAGCAAUAACCAACGAUUACAUUUUAGGGAUAAUAAAAUUCUGAAUAUUUUUUAGCUACCGCA